rnacentral:lncRNA from 1 species
UUUAGAGUAAUCAUUGCUAGCGUAAACAUGAUGUUUGGGCUAGGGUACUCAUAGAUAUCCCCUGCCUAGCCGGACCGUGGUAGUAGCGAGGAACGUGACAUUUCCGUAGCUACCUUUGUAGCCCACAAUCCCGUUAGCAGGAUCGGUAGGGUUUAUAGGUGUGGGUCGAACAUCCUUUGUGGUGUCUAGAUUCCGUAAGCCUCCCCAAUAGAAUAGUAGAUCAUUCUUACCAAGGUUAGAUCGAGAGUGCGGUUGUAGUCUUCUCUAUACAUUGCUCACAUCAAAUCACAUUGUUUGUAGCCUAAAGGGUAGUAGUAAUAGAUUUGGUUAGUCAGAUGCACGCUUUCUCCCAGUGGUAAAAAUAUAAAUACGAUACUCUGGAUAACCUCCCGGGUGAAGUGCUCACCGAUAUCCGUGCGCUUGCAGAUCAUUUCCUAAUGGCGUUAACAAAUAUCAACAAGCAUUUCUAGCGCCGUUGCCGGGGAGAAAGACGGUUUGCUGAGAUAACUUUGAGUCUUGCUAUUAUCUUGUAUUAUACUUUUAUACUUUUAUUCUUUUAUCUUUUUAUUUUUUUCAUCUUUAUGGAUAACUCAAAUUCCACACCUAUUAUUGAAUUUUUUGCACCUUCGGAGACCAGCCAUAGACCAAGGGAGUCAACAAGUCCUUUCUUUGCCCCUAAGUAUGAUUUGUGUCCGGAGUUGAUUGGAAUAGGUCAAAACCAACCCUUUUCUAUAGACAAGGUCCUAUCUUUUAAUCAAGAAGAUAAUGAACUUUUAGCUACACCUAGGGAAUCUUUUAAUCUUUCUAUAAAUUUUGCUUUAGACCUAGCCCUACAAGACCAUGUUUUCCUCGAUAUUUUCACAUUGGUCUUAAUCAUAUAACCUUUGGUAGAGUUUUUCUUUCUUUAUCUGUUAGUAAAGCAAGGUAUGUCUUCAUUCGUGGACAUCCUUCUUGCACUAGUGUUCAUAAAAAAUUCCUAGAGAUAGAGAAGGAAUCAUCUCCCAAACGAGGAAAAGAAGUUUCAAUAGCCGAUUUCCAAACAUUUCAAUCCCAUGAUUCGGCUAUCCAACCCAAACUAGUAGUGCUCCAAAAUCAUCUAAGGGAAGAAGAAAUUCUACCUUUGGAAAUUCAUUUUGGGAUGAGCUUAAACUUCUUGCUUCAUAAGAGACCUUUGAGUGCAUAUAGUCUGAACCUUCCUAAGAAGGGAUCUCUUAGAAAGCAUCUCAAAUCCAAUCCCUUUGAUGGACAUCUAGAAAGACUCAAGGAUGGCAUCUUAAGUGAUGCAAUAGAAGGAGAGCGAAGCCAUUUAGAAGACAAUCUCAUCUUCUCCCCUUCUACACCCACUUUUGAUGACUCAUUCAAGCCUAUCUUUAAACCCAUCCUUGAGCCUAAUAAUUUCUACU